rnacentral:rRNA from 1 species
UACGUAGGAUGCAAGCGUUGUCCGGAUUUACUGGGCGUAAAGCGCGCGCAGGCGGCAGUACAAGUACCCUCUGAAAUCUCCUUGCUCAACGAGGAGGGUGGAGGGUAGACUGUGCAGCUAGAGGAGGGUAGAGGGGGGUAGAAUUGCUGGUGUAGCGGUGAAAUGCGUAGAUAUUGGGAAGAACACCGGUGGCGAAAGCGCCUUGCUGGGUCUGCACUGACACUGAGGGACGAAAGCUAGGGGAGCGAAAGGG